CUAAUCCUUUUUUUUAGUCAUUGUUGACCCCUUCGACGCUUGGCCCACCAGUGAUUGCCGUUCGCCCUCGUCUUCUCCUUAACGUCACUAGAUGUCGUGCUCGGAGCUGUUGCGUCGCAGUCUCUAUUGUUGUCUUCAAGCCAGUCUCCUUCCUUGUUGUCAUUGGCCCCGAAAUCGACGUCUCUAUUCUUGCGUCAAGCCUCUGUCUUCGAGUCUCUUCUCUCUCUGUCCGAGGUCUCAUCCUUCCUCUCUUGACGUCAUCUUCCUUCCUCCCUCGCUGCCGUUUGAUAAUAGUAUAAGUGAUAACCUUGGUGGUAUUCAGUAUAUUAAGAUGACCAGGAUAGGUCAUUACAUGAAGACAUCAAAGUUAGAUACAGCAUGCCAGCAACCUCAAAUAGGAGUUGUUGCGGCUUCAUCCUCCCAUCAAGUGAACUGCCCAAUUCCCCCCGUCUAGUGGUGGUGAUGUUCCCGCAGCUACAUCUUUAUGCCCAUUUCGUCCGUUCCGUAGAGCACCAUAACCUGCUCCACAGACUUACACAAUUGGUGUUCAAAACUCGGAGCCGGGUGAUAAAGAUUUAGACCUAGAGGCAAAUGAGGUAGAUUCCUUUGAGCAACACGUUGACAACCUAUUUGUUGAAUCAAAGACUCAGAAGCGAGCGCAAGGAAUGCAAGACCACUGAAUUUUGGAUGUUUAAACAAUUAGUAUACAAAUCUUGGAUCUUUUAUAGUCAAAAUGAUGAAUGCUCUUUUUUAUGAUUUCAUUGCAUCUUGGCCACAAUGAUUUUUACAGAAUCCAAUGGCACAAUCAAACAAGCUCAUUUGAGUGUAAUGGAAGCUAUAAAGUCACAUAACGAUUGAAAGAUCGUACUCAAAUUCAACGAAAAAUUUCAAGCAAUUGGAGAUGAAGCUGGUAUACUGAGUGGCAUUUUUGAAUUGCUAAGUGCUGACUACAAUAAAUUUCCAAUCUGUGAGAAAGAUUGGAGAAAGAUUAGCUCCAAGGACAAGAUCUAUAACGAAUGUAUAAAAGGAAAUGUUCCAUUUUGAUGAAGAUAGUAGAGGAAUUAUCAAGCGUACAAUUAUAAAAAGUAUAGGGAGAUCUUGGGAAAAAAUGAGGAGCAGAUUGUACUAUGACUAUUACAACUCUGAAUAAACGAUUGAACAAAAUAUUGAAGAACGCCCACCAGGAAUUAGUGUAGAUCAUUAGAGAUGGUUCCUUGAUUAUUGCAAUAGUGAAGACACAAAGGAGAAGUGUAGGAAAAAUGUUAUGAAUUAAUCGAAGCAACUAUACACUCACACUGGUGGUUCAAAAAGCUUGGCAAGGCAUAGAGAAGAAAAGUCAGAACUACAAGAGAGGAAAGUUAGUAGAGGAGAGUUAUGGACCUUAGUGCACAAAUGACGUGAUGGCGCCUAUAUCCAUGAAGAAUCUCGGGCCAUUGGUGAAAGAAUUGUGGAGAUUGAGCAACAUGAUGAAUUCUCUAGACUAUUGUCUCAGAAUGAUUCGGUUGCUCAUGCUUUUGGAAAAGAGCACCCGGGUAGAGUCCGUGGCGUGGGUUUUAGACCGAUUUCUAGUCAACUCUUCGGUACAACUUUUCAUGAACAGAACGAUGGAGCUCAAAGAGAGGAGACUCAAACGGUACUACUUGAACUAUAAGCAGAGCUGACAGCUAAGAAAUUAAAAAGGAAGGUAGUGGAGGAAGAAGUAGCAGCCGAGAAGACAAAAAGGCAGGUAGUUGAGAAUGAAGUAGCAGUCGAGAAGAUAAAGAUGCAUGCAAUUGAGAGUGCUCAAAGAUGUCUAAUUCAAAGGCACGGUGGGAAGCUACCAUUAGACAUCGCUGCAUGGAUGAAUUCCUUGGAGGGACAA